GGACCAUCCUGCAUAUCAGAUAUUUACAUUACGAUUCAUAACAGUAGCAACAUUACAGUUAUGAAGUAGCAACGAAAAUAAUUUUAUGGUUGGGUCACAACAUGAGGAACUGUAUUUAAAGGGCCAGAAGGUUGAAAACCACUGUGCUAGAUUAUCCAUCACUUUGAAGAAGACAGGGCUCAAAGUGCUCCAAGCACAUGCAGAGCAGGGCUACCCUCUUGCAGCCAAGAAGAGAAGCCGGUCCAUAUUCCUUCCAAACCUUUGUGACUAGAUGAGCUGGGAACUUUUUAAUUUGUAGAACUAGUCAGUGCAAAUACUGUACUAUCCCUCAUAGGGGAAUAUCCCAUAACAAAACAUUAAUAUUUCUGCAACGAAUAUUCACACUUAGGGAUUCAUCAUGGUUACAAAUAGCUUCCAUGUAGAUUCAGGUCAGUUUUGGUGUCAAAUUUAAGUUAUGAAAAAUUUUUGGUUUUCAGAGCACUAGAGACUGGAAAUGAGGGUCUGGAUUUCCCCCACUGGAGGGAAAUAGACUCAGGAGCCAUGUCUUAGCAACUCACGGAAACUCGGGGUUCUCUGUACUUAAAAUUUCAUUCUACAUUGUCUUCCUUCCACCAAAGAAAACUAGACAAAAAAGGUCAGAAUUGGACUUGUUAUUCAUACAUUUGCAUUGAUUUAAAUACAUUACAUACAAUUCUACAGUGCAUUAGAACAGUAAGAGGCAGGAGGACUACAGCCCAGCCUCUACUCCCUGACACCGGGGGACAGGGCCUAUGGCUGGCAGAGGGCUGGGCCAUUCCAUGAGUGCCACCCAGAAGCCUGCCCUGGCACUCUGGACCCCUGGCUCUCGCAAAGUCCACAUUCAAGGCAACCUGAGUACAGGUUUCAAAGAGAGCAGAGAGGCCAGGAAAGGAUGCCCCUCCCACUCUCUCACCUGCCAGGACUGGGACCAGGCCCCUCUUACAUUAGACCCAGUUUCCUUCCCACAGAGCUGGUCUGGAUGAGGGCAAUGUGCAGAUCUGCUUGGUUGGGGAGAGCAAGUAGGUUCCUCAUUAGAAUCCUCAGGCUCUCUUGAUGCCCACCUUUACCACACGUUUAUACAAAGAUGUCUGUGGAGAGCUAAACACACCUGGGCCCCCUUCCAGCUUCUGGGAGCCCUACUACUCCUGCAGUCUGAGGGCAGACAUUCUCAAAAACAUGGUCCCCAAGGCUAGUGUCCAGGUUGGCUGACUGGGAUUGUGAAGGGAGCUGUGCCUUUGUCCAUGGGGCAUGCACACCCAGCUCCCAGAGACUCUUCCCGUCAGCUGGAUGGAAGCCCAAGAUAAGCUGGCUCCGGGGGCUGGAAUGGAAGGGCAGCCUGGCCCAGCUUAUGAGAUGCUGCACAUCUCCCCUCUGUCUCCUGGAGGGCAGGGGAUGGGCAAGCCAAGGGCACAAGACCUAGUCCUCGCUCCCUUUCUUUGGUUGUUUUUCAAACCUUCACGAUAGUUUAUUUCACAGCUGAUUGACCAAUCGCAGGGUUCCAGAAACUUGGGAGUCCAGUAGCAUACGGCUGCUCCUGAGCUACAGAUGGCACCCUCUUUUCUCCCUUGUGGGGGCCACUCUUUGCUUUGGUGUAGAAAGGGCUUGGGCACCUGGCAAGGGGAUAGCUGAGGGGAGAGACAUGGAAGCAGGAAGUGCACUGAGCUGGACUGGCACUGGGGAACAGUUUGAAGGCCUCUCUCCUUUGGGCCCACUUUUCUCAAGAAGCCAUGGAAAAACUGGCCUGGAACAAAGUGAGGGAGCAAAGCGCAGCUACCAAUUAGCAGAACACAAGGCCUGUUACCUCAACCAAGCAGCAGUGGUAGCAUAAAGAGAACCUGAUAUCCCGUCCUCUUAUGAGCUGAGACCCACUCCAGAAUCCAAACUGAACCCCUUAGUCAGAAUUGAGAAAAGAAACGUCUAAAAUAAUGGGAACUAAUGAGAGGACUGGGAGUUUAUCACCUAUGGCUAGGGCCAAGGACUCAGGAAGCAAGACGGGGAUAAGUUUGCCCAUAGACCAAUUACAGUUCCCAGCAUACACUCAGGCUACAUGGAUCACUUGUACAUGCCGGGGAGUCCACGUCCUCCCUCCUGCCUUUACCUGAGUGAUAGGCAGGUUGCAGGCCUGCACUUGAGAGGUUGGAUCCCUAGCAGAGCAGAGAGCAGAGCUGAUCUAUAGGAUCAUAUACAGAGCUGCUAGGAGGUCUAGAGCAAAAGUACCCCCGCCAUGCAAAUUGCAUUUGGAGGCUUUUAGUCAGCCUACUGCACUGGUGGGAGGAAAAAGAGAAGACUUGGCAAAAUCUCAAAGGAAAGGUACCGCUUCUGUCUGCCCCAGGAAUGCGAGUAACCCAGCUGCCUUGGUCCAUUAGAGUGAGGCAUCUGAAUGUCUGGGUCCAUGCAAAUCUAGGUCUGGAUUCAGGGUUUCUGAAUGAAUCUGGGAUUCUGCCUGGGUUUAGCUAAUAAUUUAAAUUUUUGUUGUUUGUUUGUUUCUGAUGCAGAAUAUAAUGAGGAAUUGCAACAGCGCCCAGGUCUCACCAGGAAAGGGGAUUUCCCAGCCUGCCCUCAGGAGGUGCUGGAAGGCAGAUGCUCCUUCCAUGGAGCUCCAGCCUUCCUCAGCACUCAGGGGAGCCCACCCGCACUCGCUGUUGCUCUGUUUGUGCUUCUCCCUGUGCUUGGGAAAGCCCUGAGGGGGAUGGUGAGCAGAGAGGGAGGGCUCUCACGGGCACUGCUUUCUACUGGCUUCUCAGGCUUUUCCUGCAACCCGCUCCCCAAGUUUCCUCCUAGCCCAAGUCUCAGACAACGUACUCUUGUCUGCCUCUUGGGCUACCACCACGAAAAGAAGGGUUUCCGACUCUGAAAGCUCUGUGUGUAGGAUUCACUAGCAGACCGCUGGUGGGAAUGAGCUGUCUCAACAAUCACAGGUGGCAUCUGGACCAGGUGCAGGGGACUCUUGUUGUCUUUCAAGGCCUGAGUCAGAUUUAGGAUCUGCAGUGGGAAAAUGAGAUAAAUUAAGGAAAGGCAUAGGCAUCCAGGCGUGCCUCUAAAGGGAGACUGGCAGACAGAAUGCUCCUAUAAAUCAAUAAAAAAAAAAAAAUAAACAACAUGCUAAUGGAAAACUGUACAAAUAAUCUAUUUAUAAGAGUAGGACUGUAAGUGGGCAAUAUAUAGAAAAUGGAAAGUUCUCUAGUCAUUUUAAAAAUGAAGAUUACAAAA